AGUGAACGCUGGCGGUAGGCCUAACACAUGCAAGUCGAACGGAAGCACAGUAAGAGCUUGCUCUUACGGGUGGCGAGUGGCGGACGGGUGAGGAAUACAUCGGAAUCUACUUUUUCGUGGGGGAUAACGUAGGGAAACUUACGCUAAUACCGCAUACGACCUACGGGUGAAAGCAGGGGAUCUUCGGACCUUGCGCGAUUGAAUGCGCCGAUGUCGGAUUAGCUAGUUGGCGGGGUAAAGGCCCACCAAGGCGACGAUCCGUAGCUGGUCUGAGAGGAUGAUCGGCCACACUGGAACUGAGACACGGUCCAGACUCCUACGGGAGGCAGCAGUGGGGAAUAUUGGACAAUGGGCGCAAGCCUGAUCCAGCCAUACCGCGUGGGUGAAGAAGGCCUUCGGGUUGUAAAGCCCUUUUGCUGGGAAAGAAAAGCAGCAGGUUAAUACCCCGCUGUUCUGACGGUACCCAAAGAAUAAGCACCGGCUAACUUCGUG
rnacentral:rRNA from 1 species